rfam:Danio rerio chromosome 4, GRCz11 reference primary assembly.
GCUUACGGCCAUACCACCCUGGAAAUGCCCAAUCUCAUCUGAACUCGGAAGUAAAGCAGGGUCGAGCCUGGUUAGUACUUGGAUGGGAGACCGCCUGGGAAUACCAGGUGCUGUAAGCU